rnacentral:tRNA from 1 species
AUCAGAGUGGCGCAGCGGAAGCGUGGUGGGCCCAUAACCCACAGGUGUCAGGAUCGAAACCUGGCUCUGAUA